rnacentral:rRNA from 1 species
AUUGAACGCUGGCGGCAUGCUUUACACAUGCAAGUCGAACGGUAGAGGGGGCAACCCCUUGAGAGUGGCGAACGGGUGAGUAAUGCAUCGGAACGUGCCCAGUCGUGGGGGAUAACGCAGCGAAAGCUGUGCUAAUACCGCAUACGAUCUCUGGAUGAAAGCGGGGGACCGAAAGGCCUCGCGCGAUUGGAGCGGCCGAUGUCAGAGUAGGUAGUUGGUGGGGUAAAGGCUCACCAAGCCAACGAUCUGGAGCUGGUGUGAGAGGAAGACCAGCCACAGUGGGAAUGAGACACGGACCAGAGUCAUAGGGGAGGCAGCGGUGGGGUAUUUGAGACAAUGCGCGCAAGCCUGAUCAAGCAAUGCCGCGUGCAGGAAGAAGGCCUUCGGGUUGUGAACUGCUUUUGUACGGAACGAAAAGGUCUGGGUUAAUACCCUGGGCACAUGACGGUACCGUAAGAAUAAGCACCGGCUAACUACGUGCCAGCCGCGGCCGUAA